rnacentral:rRNA from 1 species
CGCGAAGGGGGUCUAUAAUGCAGUCGACGACUCUGGUAUUGAUUGGUGCUUGCAUCAUGAUUUACAUUUGAGUGAGUGGCGAACUGGUGAGUAACACGUGGGAAACCUGCCCAGAAGCGGGGGAUAACACCUGGAAACAGAUGCUAAUACCGCAUAACAACUUGGACCGCAUGGUCCGAGCUUGAAAGAUGGCUUCGGCUAUCACUUUUGGAUGGUCCCGCGGCGUAUUAGCUAGAUGGUGGGGUAACGGCUCACCAUGGCAAUGAUACGUAGCCGACCUGAGAGGGUAAUCGGCCACAUUGGGACUGAGACACGGCCCAAACUCCUACGGGAGGCAGCAGUAGGGAAUCUUCCACAAUGGACGAAAGUCUGAUGGAGCAACGCCGCGUGAGUGAAGAAGGGUUUCGGCUCGUAAAACUCUGUUGUUAAAGAAGAACAUAUCUGAGAGUAACUGUUCAGGUAUUGACGGUAUUUAACCAGAAAGCCACGGCUAACUACGUGCCAGCAGCCGCGGUAAUACGUAGGUGGCAAGCGUUGUCCGGAUUUAUUGGGCGUAAAGCGAGCGCAGGCGGUUUUUUAAGUCUGAUGUGAAAGCCUUCGGCUCAACCGAAGAAGUGCAUCGGAAACUGGGAAACUUGAGUGCAGAAGAGGACAGUGGAACUCCAUGUGUAGCGGUGAAAUGCGUAGAUAUAUGGAAGAACACCAGUGGCGAAGGCGGCUGUCUGGUCUGUAACUGACGCUGAGGCUCGAAAGUAUGGGUAGCAAACAGGAUUAGAUACCCUGGUAGUCCAUACCGUAAACGAUGAAUGCUAAGUGUUGGAGGGUUUCCGCCCUUCAGUGCUGCAGCUAACGCAUUAAGCAUUCCGCCUGGGGAGUACGGGCCGCAAGGCUGAAACUCAAAGGAAUUGACGGGGGCCCGCACAAGCGGUGGGAGCAUGUGGUUUAAUUCGAAGCUACGCGAAGAACCUUACCAGGUCUUGACAUACUAUGCAAAUCUAAGAGAUUAGACGUUCCCUUCGGGGACAUGGAUACAGGUGGUGCAUGAUGUCGUCAGCUCGUGUCGUGAGAUGUGGGUAGUCCCGCACGAGCGCAUCCCUAUAUCAGCUGCAGCAUAAGGUGGUCACUCUAUUGAGACUGCCGUGACGACCGAGUAGGUGGGAAUGACGUCAAAUUCAAUCAUGCCCCCCAUA